UACUCGAGGCCACAUCAAAACCAUUACGCAAAAAACUUGUUAUAUGAUAUGGUGCUUCACUGUACAUUCACAUAUAUUUUAUGCGAUUGGUAACAUUAAUCAAUUUGCGUAAUGCUUCAUAAUCCUCAACCACCGGAAGAAUGUAGAACAAUUUUCGGAUCUCACCAACAUGCAGACCAUAACACCCCGUCUCAUUCAAACGUAAUUGAUUCUCCGCUACUUGCAGAUUCAAUCCAGCAUCAACGGUAAUACGCUCAACUACACAACCGCCAUCGUGGAUGGUGCCAACACUGUUCCAGCAAUGUAAUAAACCCGCUACUAUUCCAUUUACACCUUUCGUCGAUGUUUUGCGCUCCUCAGCUGCCCCGGUCCCGCUCUCCAUGAACACUCUGUAAACCCGUGUUUUUGUUUCAAACAAAAGCUAGCAAAAUACCGGCCAUUUCAACCGUUUGGGUGUCCACGAGUCAGGAUUAACUACCUAGUUGUAACUACAAUUCACAGCGGAAACCUCUGCAUCGAUACGAUAGAGGUAGAGUAGACUAGCCUUGGUUUUAUGCAUCCAAUGUUCUUUUUUACGUUUUGAUUGAUCCUGGUCUGGUCGGUUGUGGCGCGUCUCAGCAACAUUUCCGUUCUAUUCUUCGUUGUUUGCUGAACUGGAAGCGGCCGAAGCCUAAAUCACAAUUGGCAUGAUUACAACUGUUGUCGCUGGUCGAUUCAGAUCAUAUUGGGUUUCUUAUCUGAACGGGAGAAGAGUGAUAGUAAGAAAGCAAACACAAAGGCGUAGCAACCGUGUUGGUAGUAAAUAAUUAUUAUUAUGUAAGCUAAUUAAAUUAAAUCAAUUAUCCAAAAAUAAGCAAAAUCAAGCCUACAGUAAGUGAAACUAAUAAUAAUAUCCUAUUCACAGGUAAACAUUUCCAAGCAACUACAAACCAUACAAAAAUCUAGAACAGUAGAAACGUGUGCCAUAGUGAAGUGAACAAGGUUUAGUAUGAUCACGCUCAGAAACAAUGGAAAUUCAUUUUGGUUAUACAUUCACCGUGGCACUCGUUUUUCUUCUUUCAGCUAAGUCAAAACUAAAGUGGAGACAUAAUCACAAAAUACAAGAGAAAGAAAGAAAAAAACACUCGCGCAGCACCUUAUGCGUGAGUUGUAAAGAAGAAAUAUUUAAUGACAGUUAAAUAAUAAUAUAGCAUUGGAAUAUCCACUAUAAAAAAAGAGAACGAAAUAUUUCAAAGACGAGUUAAAGGGGCAAACACACGAGUUUUUGAAAUUUGUCUAUUCCUUCGAAAACAGAAUGCUGCAACAUUCGAAUGAAAAGAAUAAUUUCAUUGGGUUGUCCUUCUUUCUUGCUUUGGAGUUAUAUUGUGCGUGGAAAAACAAAAACAUGCUUAGGGGGCGGGGGAGCAGGAUAUCGAAAGUGGUGAGCAAAUUUAGAUUACUAGAAAAAGGAACAUAAACGACGAGCUAGCGGGAGAACUUAGGGAGUGAAUCGAAGAUGGAAAAUCUAAAGGGGGUAGAUUAUCAUUUAACAAUAAACACAAAUAAGAUAAAAAAAAUCAAACAAAAAAAAAACAAAAAUUAGGUCAAGUCAUGCAAUUACUCGAUAGAAAGCGGGAGAGCUUGAUAUGCGGGAAAGAGAUGUGCGAUAUUUGUGAUUCUCGAUGGUAUGGGGAAGGAUACUUUUCGAUUGCUGAGCAUUGGGCAGCAAGAAAGUUUUGAUUUCGAGGAGAUGUGCGGCGUCUGGAGAUAAAUAAUAACGACGAGAGGUUUGAAUUUUGUGUAUAGAUGAUUUACAUUUUUGGAUGUGUUGGUGCGUUGGAAGUUUUGACAGUUAUGUUGAAAACAUUACAAAUCAAACUAUGAGCUAAAAAUAUCAGAAUUCAAAACAUACCCAAAAUUUCCUGAAGUACCCCCAAGAAACACUUAUUUGAUCGUGACGGUUGUUAAUAUCGAAAACACUUACAACAACACCGACAUAUCUAAAAAUGAGAUGAAUCAAAUUUAUGUAUAAGCAGACGCGCAGACCGUUUGACAUUUGACUGGUACAGUGAUGGAAUCCAAACCAAUAGACGAUACUAAAGACACUAAAAUAUACUAUAGUGAAUGGCUGUGGUUAGCAUUGUGUGAAUUUGUGUUUGGUGCGCAAGUGGACAAGAACGAGAGAUAGAGUGUGUGGCGGUUGUAUUUAUGUUCCCUCCAUUGAUAGCCAAGAAAAACGAGGAACCGAGCUCAGCGGAACGCGCUUUUGUUGUUAAUGCAUCUGCAUCAAACGUGGUGCAAGAGUGAAUGUGAUAUAUAUGAUGCCCAAUUACGCAUGUUGUUUGAUUUUUAUGGUAUAAUUAAACAGAAUUUCAAUUUAAAUGUAAUAUGUGACAAAAAGCGAUGUAUGGAUGUAAAUUGUGGGAUCAAGCUAGGGACAAUUUAAUGUGUUAUUGUGAUGUGAAUGUCUAUAGAGGAAAUCAUUGUAAAACCGACACCCAAAGGAAAAAGAAACCGAAAAUUAGGAAAGCAUCUGAAAUUUAAGAAUUUAGGCUGCAAGAAGCAACUUGUUCUAGCACUUUCCUGAAAAACGACUUUUGCUGUCCAAAACAGCCAGGUAUAUUGAAUGGUUUAUGAAAUGCUUAAGAGAGAUUCCGUAACAAUUUGUAGACAUAGCUUUUUUUCUCUAUUAUAGUGACUUUCAACACAUUUCGGCUGGUUCGUCACUUUUACUUCCAUUUUCACUUGUCACAUUUACUUCCAUUUUCGGGAGUGAGAAUUGAACUCGUGAUCUUUGCGUGAGAGGUAUGGAUGUUACCACAACGCCAGAUCGCCUCCACUGUAGACAAAGCUCAUAUUUCCAAGACCUUCCAUGUUUCUUUGACUACACACUGUUACGGAAUCUCUCUUAAGCUUUUCAUAAACCAUUCAAGAUAUCUCUAUUUGGCUAUUUUGGACGGCAAAGUUCGGUUUUCAGGAAAGUGCUAGGAACAAGUUGCUUCUUGCAGCCUAAAUACUUAAAUUUCAGAUGCUUUCUUAAUUUUCGAUUUCUUCUUAGAAGCAUGCCUCCGGCUUAACAUAAGAACUUUUAUUUUUUCUUUUGACUUCCAUUUCUUUCGUCGCUUCUGCAGUGGUCAUACUUUGUGUUCUUGAGAGGUUAUUUUUUAACGCUCCUUCUAAACGGCGCUUUCGCGUAGUCCUUGGCUGAAUCAUUUUUGACGAAGGAAUAAUUUUUGUUGGUGGCAUCUCGAAGGACGCAUCAAGAUUUGAAUUAUUGUGAACUGAAACAUCAAUAGAUUUCGACAUUCUGUGUCCAAAUUAAUCUUCAACGAUUUCGAGACUAUGCUCAUCUGCAAUCUGGUCCCAGGAGGAGCUCCGUUUUUCAUAUAUGCGUGUAAAGGGUGUCCUACAUCAAAUUGCAUCACGAAAAAAACGCUGUAGAAAAUUACUCCGUGACGUUAGUUUCCGAAACGAACCGUGACGUUAGUUUCAUCAUGAUGUAUACAAUGAUGCUUCCUCAGCAUCUGGGUGUAUAGUUUCCGGGCUCGUGUCUUUCUCAGCAUAUUUUGCUGUUCGUCACGAUUUAGAGCCCUCUGCGCUUCGUACGUAUGCUGUCCCUCCCGGUCCUUGGCUCUCUGAAUGAAAGACUUGGACAGAUUCAACUUUUUGGUCACAUCCCUGAUCGAAGCAUUGGGACUCUGCUUAAACGAUUUCACGACACGCUUGUGAUCCUGAUCAGCAGCGUAGUGAGGGUAGACAGCGCCCCUGGCAAACUAUGAAAAUGGCGCCCCAAAAUACCACUUUUUUCAAAUUUAUCACUAUAAUUACACAUAGGUACGGAAAGAAGCAACUACCUCAUGAUGGAUGUCUUUUUACUCUAUUGAAAGAUGAAAUAUAAUUCGGGAAAAAAAUUGCUUUUGAAAAUUUUUGGAUUUUGACGCCCCAAAGGGUCAGCGCCCCAGGCAAAUGCCGGGUUUGCCACCCGCACACUACGCCUCUGAUCCUGAUCACUGAUAGAACAUUCAUUCUGACCGCAUUUCAUCUUCCGUUCGAUGCUCAGAGGAUCGUAGUAACCUUUAAAUACACGAAUCACCGUUGACUGCACGAUUCUGAGUUGUUUUCCGAUGUUCCGAUGAGAGAGUUGAGGAUUUUCCUAGAUGCUUGCGCAAAAUCAAUUCGCGACGUUGCUCUUCGGGUGACGCCAUUGUUUUUCAAUUUUCGAAAAACUGACAGCGAUAAAAAUACAGUGUAAACAAAACACUCUAAACUACUUCUACCCAAAUUUUCAAGAGAAAAUACCCAACUUCGCGUAUUUUCCGUGAAUCAAUUUGAUUUGAGACACCCUUUAUUCUUUUUCUGGAAAAAAAAAAAUAAUGGAGGGAUAUGUUGACCAGCAGCAAACAUGCACGUUGCUCGUUGUCAUUGCUUCUCCCCUUUCUACAGAGCUGAUACUGCCCAUCUGCAUUUUGCCUCUCGUUGCAGCAAUUGAUAAUGAUGUCUCAUCAACAUUGUAUAUACGAGAAGCAUGAAAUUGAUCGGUUUUUUGAAAUAAUCUCCAAUAAGUCAAAAAAAAUUGACCACAGGCUUGUUGAACCCCCUGGCUCUUGCUGCUGAUGUAGCCUCGGGUUUACGGAACGUAAGUUUUGGAUUUCUGUCUAGAAAGACUUUUAUCCAGUCCCAGCCAGCAGCCUUCUUCUUCUCAUUGAACCGAUGUUGAAUGUUGUUUUUUUUGGCCAAUUCGAAUGCCAAUCGACGGACAUCUGUCGUACUGAUUUCACAGAAGCGAAUCUCAAGGUCGAGCAGAUGACGGACCAACACUUGGCAUUUUUCAGUUGUUCUUUAGUCCAGCUCUGCCGUUUCAUUUUACGAACAUACACACGAGGCAUCUACAAAACAUAAAGAUAAAGAUAGGAUAGUUUCAAUCGACAAGUGAAAGCGUCUGCUUUUAAAUAAAGAGGGAACAACGACAGAACGAAAACGAAAUUGAUGAAUCGAUGUUUCAGUAUGCGUAGUAAAUACACACAAUCGAAAUUGAAACUAGCAGAGAAAGGUAGAAGUGGAAUAGUCAUUUUCAUAUUAAAAAAAUUGCAAAAAAUAGCUUUUCACUGGAAAAAACAGAGGGUGUUGGUUUUACCCACAGUGUCGGUUUUACCCUGAUUUUUCUUACAUGUUGAUGAUGUAUGUGUGUGUUAGGAUAUGUGAGAAUCAACGACAAUGAACAACAACAUUUAACAUUUUCCAUUGAUACUAAAAUAGUAUUUACAUAAUAAUUUGUGUUAGACACAUAUAAUUUCGGGAAAAGGUUCAACGCGUGUUCAAAUGUUUGUAUAUUUUGACCUUUUUGGUUCUCCAUUACUCAAUAACUACGGAAACAUUGCAUUUUGAACACUUCAAAAGAUCCUAGUAUUUACACAAUUAUUAUUUGAAUCAGCCUGGACAUCAGAGAAAAUAUUUACUGAAAGCAUAUAUUUUGAUGCAUUAUGAUUUUCUAAGUAUCAAUUCGAUAAGUGGUUUUGUUUCAAAAUGAUUUUACAUAAAGAUACCUUGCAACAUCACGACUAAUAUCCAUAAGUUCUAGCGGAAGUGUAACCAACAGUGACUUACAUCGAAAUAUUCGUACCCACACAUUUUGACGAGAUUUUCAGUACGAUGCCACAGACGAAUAAGAAUCAUGAAAUGAACUAGUAACAAUCAUCCAAUGUGAAACUAAUGAACAAAGAAAAAAAAUUCCUAAACAAAAAUUAGCUUAUAGUAGGUCUAUUAAGAAGUACGCAAUAAAUGCAAUGUGAAGAGCAAAUAAAUUUGAAUCAAAUGAUUCUUGUUCCAACGAUGAGCCAACAGAAGAAAAAAAAACGCGACAUAGUCAGUACACGACAAACGAAACAAACACAACUGAAGCAAAGGGGCAAAUGGAGUAUGAGCGAUCGUUGACUACGAGUCGUGAUAUGAGCGCGCAUAAGUGUUACCGUCGAGAUAGAGUAUGUAAUUUAUACCUGUAUCAUUCCAUCGAAUGUGAAUGGAUUGGGACAUGUGAGACAUGUGUUUUUUGUCACAUUAAAGCACACAAAGUAUUAGCAGAUAAAAAGGCAAGAACGAAAAAUGAGCUUUCUGAAAAGCAGGCUCCAAUAAGGAUUAUUGACUGUUGGUUGAGGGGAAGAGAGUGAAGCAUUUGCACAACUCAAUAUAUUAUUCAAAUUCAGAACAAAACAAAAACAACAAAGAAACACAGAAUUCCCAGGUGAUACAACAUACAUUUUGUUGAGUGCAUUAUCCCGGGGAAUUUAUGAGGAUAAAAGUGACUCCAGACUAUAACAAACAGACUGCAAAUUCAGUUAAAAUUAUCGAAACAAACAAACCAUUUUAAGAGGUCGAUGAUAACAAGCGAACAUUGCUCAGGUAAACAUACAAACAACAAAAACAAACAUAAAAAUACAAAAACAAAACACAAAGACUUACAUAUUGAAAUACACUGAACACCCAACAGCAGAAAUAAAACGAAGUAAACGAGCGUAAUGGAUAUUUGAGACAUAAAACAAUAAAAAAAGAAUAUGAAAUUUUUUCCUUCUUGCUAAAAGAGUAGUAGACGCGAGUGGUGUGCUUGAUUGUAUGUGUGCGUGAAGGUGAGCAUUAUUCGAAAGUGUGACAUCGCAUAAUCGUUGGAGCGAUGUGUUCCAAAAUCAUUGUAUUAUAGUAGGAAGAACGAAAUAUCAAACUUGAGUGUAUGCGGUAGGAACAAAUUCAUCCGCUCCCAUUCCAGCUGUGACAUCCCAAUGAGAGAGGGUUUGGAGCGGAACAAAUGUGUGGCUGAACAUUCUCAAAUAAAUUAAGUUCCAUAUAAUGUGAAAAAAAGGGAGGAGACAAUGUUUACUCACGACUUUUCCCAUUACACAACUUGAAAUACUGAACUUAUUCAGAAUCAUUGAACUGAACGACAUGGAAAUACUGGAAUAAAAAAACCAUUAGAAUUUAAGUAGGAAUCUAUUGAAAUUACGAUGAACUAUACUGACUUACCUAGACUCAAAUGAAUUAAUUCGAAAUAAGAAAUAAUAAAAUAUGAAAACAACUGUGAUUUGGGAAAGCUUUUUACACAAGCAUAAAAUUUUGUGAAUGAAUAGUGGUCGGACAGUUUUGUUGGAGUUUGUCACGCAAACAGAGCGUAAAAAACAGACGAAAAAAAUAUGAUUCGAUUUUAAAGAAAGCAUCAAAAUAUCUAAUCAGAGUUUACAUUUUACAAUUUGAACCGAACUCACGACAGUUUGAGGAUUACGAAACGGGACGGAAAAAGCUUUCUCAAGAAAUGAACGACUGAUUUUAACAAAAGAACAUUAACACAUAAUACCAACUUUGAAAUGACGAGUGAAAAAAUAUGUUCCCUUCGGAACACGAAUAUGAAUUUGCGCGGUUUCGUGGGGGCUCCAUUGAUCCAUCAUCGCCAUAUUAUCAUAACUACUAUCCGGUAGAAAUCAUCAUUAUCUUUGGUUUGGAAUAUCAAGCAGCGGUAUAACUACUCCGCAUUUUGAUUUUAACCCCCCUCGAAGCCAAAGAGUGAACGUGUGAGGAUUUUUGAGGAUACGGACUGCUUGUCGCGAAAAUCAUCUUAUCAAAGCGAGUAGGGAUCUCCAAAGAAGCGACCAGAAAUUUAAGAAUGUAUAUCAAGUAAACAAAUUAUCCAUUUUCCAAUUUUGAUAUUGUUUUAUUCUAUGAGAAAAUUAAACUAGGAUUAAAUGUUGAAGACUUUGGAGGUUCCCAAUAUCCGAUUUCAAAGUGUGCUACCCAUGGAAAUGCGAACGAAUGAUUAUUGUUUGUGAGAUGCGUGAGUGUGAAAUAUAAACAUAGACGGGGAGAUUUACAUUGAGAACAAUUGGCCAUAUAUACGACAUGACACUAUUUUUGCGUGUGACGAAAGAUUAUUGAGUUUACAAGAAGAGAAUGCUUGUUGAUAACGAAUCAGCGAGGAUGUGAUAAGAGAGUAUGUUUGUUAUAAGUCGAACGUGAAUAUAUUGAUAUGAUAGGUGAACCAAUGUUGUUAGUUUGCAACAAAAUCAUUACUUAGGAUAUGAUUGUGUGUGCAAGCGUUUGAGUUUGAUUUCCUUCAGUUUGUCUGCUUCCAAGAAACCGACGAAUUUUAGCGAAUCCAGUGUGAAACACGAGUCAUGUAACGAUACAUAAAGCUGCUGUGAAACGUGUGUGGUGCACGUGUUGUGAGACUGUGGAGAGCGAUUCUUAGUGUAGUGUGUUAUGCUAGACGGAUGUAGUCCUUAGUGAAAUUUUUUCGAAGGUUACAGAAAUUGAAGGAAGCACUUCAAAUUAUUGAACGACGGAAGCGAUGGAAUUCAGUGCUUAUAAAAAAGAGGCCUCCGACUGUAAGGAUUCUUUCUUAUUUCCAAGUCAUUGACUUGUAGACAGCUUUAGCGAGUUCUUCGUAUUCCUGCCAGAUGCACCAGAAAUGCUUGAUGGAGUUGUGGAAGUUGCAGUGAUUGAAGAGUUUGUGGAUAGGCCGUGUGAAAUCGAGCAGUAUCCAGUCCAUAGUCUGGACAAUACUCGCAGCUCACGCAUCAUCGCCUCGGCAAUUUCGAAUCGACUUCUCUGCGAGACACCAUUUAGCCCGAAAGGAAAUCGAUCACGGCCACAUUGUUACCCGUAAUCCAGGAGUCCACAUGAGGACACCGUCAGGCAAUAGGUACUUCCUGACCGCUUACACUCAUAUGUCUCUGUACUUGGCUGCACCGAUGGCAUUGAUGACACUCGCCGAGUGGAGACGACCAGCAGCGAUUUCGUAGCUGCCACGUAGAUUCCGGCUUCCUUAGCCGAGAAGACCAGCCAAAUUUCGGUAAAUCUCUUGCGCGAAUCUAGUCUGUUAUUUCUGUCACUUACCCCGAAACCAACUCCUAAUGAUCUCUUAGAACCGUCCAUGUACCUUAUCUCGUGAAAACGGUAAUUUUCAGCAGUCCAUGCCCUGAAAUUCCGUGCGACCUUUCUUUCGGUUUUUCAAUAGUUAGAAUUCUCUCUUACUCUCCUUUCACGUAACAAUUUUACUCCACGAUCGGAUGAAAUUAAGUUCAA